rnacentral:rRNA from 1 species
GAUGUACGCUGGCGGCGUGCCUAAUACAUGCAAGUCGAGCGAAUGGAUUAAGAGCUUGCUCUUAUGAAGUUAGCGGCGGACGGGUGAGUAACACGUGGGUAACCUGCCCAUAAGACUGGGAUAACUCCGGGAAACCGGGGCUAAUACCGGAUAACAUUUUGAACCGCAUGGUUCGAAAUUGAAAGGCGGCUUCGGCUGUCACUUAUGGAUGGACCCGCGUCGCAUUAGCUAGUUGGUGAGGUAACGGCUCACCAAGGCAACGAUGCGUAGCCGGCCUGAGAGGGUGAUCGGGCACACUGGGACUGAAACACGGCCCAGACUCCUACGGGAGGCAGCAGUAGGGAAUCUUCCGCAAUGGACGAAAGUCUGACGGAGCAACGCCGCGUGAGUGAUGAAGGCUUUCGGGUCGUAAAACUCUGUUGUUAGGGAAGAACAAGUGCUAGUUGAAUAAGCUGGCACCUUGACGGUACCUAACCAGAAAGCCACGGCUAACUACGUGCCAGCCGCCGCGGUAA